GCGGUUUAGGGGCCGGCCCCGCCCGGUCCCGUGACUAACGCGGCAGGAGACACGCGGACCCACGCUCUGAGUGGGAAGAGUGCCCCAGGGCUCGACCUUCAUCCUAAGUGUUCUCCAUAUCUGACCUCUAUAUCAGUCUGUCUGGGAAGGCAGCCAUAGACCAUGCCUACAGUCCUAUCAUCUGCCUGACAGAAGCUGAGCACACCAAGCAGAUCUAAGUGGAGGUGCCCACAGAUCAAUAGCACUCUGCAGUGAGGAUGAAUUCAUUGCCUAUGUGAAGCCAUUAAACAAUGUUGUGUUUAUCCUAUGCUGAUCACCUGCAGCCUCUGUUGUCAACAGAGAGAAGUUGCUCAAGAAGAUGAUUAACGCUGUUCUAGCACUGGCAUCCAAGCUGACAAGUAUUUUCACUUUCUUGGAGCAAGU